CAGAGCCUGAGAUCUCUGCUUCUGAAAAUCGAUCUGUUGGAGCUGAACUUGCUUUGCUUAGUGACAUCUGCUGUCCCUGACUCUUCAGUGUGCCUUCAGCAUCACAGGGUCCUACAGUCCAUUGCUGUGUCCCUGCUCUCCUCCUUGGAUGAGAAAAUUAGGCAACCUGUGUUCAUUAUUCUCUUGAUUGACUUCAAUUGUAUCUCUGUGUAUUCCAGAAAAUGCUUAUAUGGAAAUGAUCUCUGUGAAUAGUGUGAAGUGGGCUUCCCUGGUGGCUCAAAUGGUAAAAAAUCUGCCUAUAAUGUGGGAGAGGAAGAUCCACAGGAGAAGGGAAUGGCAACCAACUCCAGUAUUCUUUCCUGGACAACUCCAUGGACAGAGGAUCCUGAUCCUUUUCCAGCUGCAUUCUGGCACAGAUGUGGCAUCGUCUCUCUGAAACAACUAUCGCGUGUACCUCUGGGACCUGGAGAUUGAAUUACGGCUCUGCUUAAGAGUUACCCGCAAAGAUGAGCUUCAAAGAUGAGGGCUUAAGUUUCUAUCCCAUUUAAAGCAGUAGCAGGCAUAGAAGCAGAGUGCAGUGAGUCAUCCUCAU
ensembl:lncRNA